rnacentral:rRNA from 1 species
AGUGAACGCUGGCGGUAGGCCUAACACAUGCAAGUCGAACGGCAGCACAGUAAGAGCUUGCUCUUACGGGUGGCGAGUGGCGGACGGGUGAGGAAUACAUCGGAAUCUACUUUUUCGUGGGGGAUAACGUAGGGAAACUUACGCUAAUACCGCAUACGACCUACGGGUGAAAGCAGGGGAUCUUCGGACCUUGCGCGAUUGAAUGAGCCGAUGUCGGAUUAGCUAGUUGGCGGGGUAAAGGCCCACCAAGGCGACGAUCCGUAGCUGGUCUGAGAGGAUGAUGAGCCACACUGGAACUGAGACACGGUCCAGACUCCUACGGGAGGCAGCGGUGGGGAAUAUUGGACGAUGGGCGCAAGCCUGAUCCAGCCAUACCGCGUGGGUGAAGAAGGCCUUCGGGUUGUAAAGCCCUUUUGUUGGGAAAGAAAAGCAGCAGGUUAAUACCCCGCUGUUCUGACGGUACCCAAAGAAUAAGCACCGGCUAACUUCGUG